rnacentral:rRNA from 1 species
AUACGGAGGAUGCGAGCGUUAUCCGGAUUUAUUGGGUUUAAAGGGAGUGUAGGUGGGAUAUUAAGUCAGCUGUGAAAGUUUGGGGCUCAACCUUAAAAUUGCAGUUGAUACUGGUUUCCUUGAGUACGGUACAGGUGGGCGGAAUUCGUGGUGUAGCGGUGAAAUGCUUAGAUAUCACGAAGAACUCCGAUCGCGAAGGCAGCUCACCGGGCCGGAACUGACACUGAUGCUCGAAAGUGCGGGUAUCAAACAGGAUUAGAUACCCUGGUAGUCCGCACAGUAAACGAUGAAUACUCGCUGUUUGCGAUACACGGUAAGCGGCCAAGCGAAAGCGUUAAGUAUUCCACCUGGGGAGUACGCCGGCAACGGUGAAACUCAAAGGAAUUGACGGGG